rfam:Denitrovibrio acetiphilus DSM 12809, complete genome.
CCUGGUGGUUUUAGCGGUAAGGUUCCACCCGUUCCCAUUUCGAACACGGAAGUUAAGCUUACCAGCGCCGAUGGUACUUCAUGAAUCAAACAUGUGGGAGAGUAGGUCGCCGCCAGGG